GACGAACGCUGGCGGCGUGCUUAACACAUGCAAGUCGAACGGAAAGGCCCUGCUUGCAGGGUACUCGAGUGGCGAACGGGUGAGUAACACGUGGGUGAUCUGCCCUGCACUUCGGGAUAAGCCUGGGAAACUGGGUCUAAUACCGGAUAGGAGCCAUUUUUAGUGUGAUGGUUGGAAAGUUUUUUCGGUGUAGGAUGGGCUCGCGGCCUAUCAGCUUGUUGGUGGGGUAAUGGCCUACCAAGGCGGCGACGGGUAGCCGGCCUGAGAGGGUGGACGGCCACAUUGGGACUGAGAUACGGCCCAGACUCCUACGGGAGGCAGCAGUGGGGAAUAUUGCACAAUGGGCGCAAGCCUGAUGCAGCGACGCCGCGUGGGGAUGACGGCCUUCGGGUUGUAAACUCCUUUCGCUAGGGACGAAGCUUUUUGUGACGGUACCUAGAUAAGAAGCACCGGCUAACUACGU
rnacentral:rRNA from 1 species